GCAACCAGUGCACUGGAUUGUUUGUUUGUUUUUAUUGUUAUUUUUCAUGGCUGUGAACAAAUUCCAGACAAGAACCAACUCUAAAGAAGAAGGAUUUAUCCCUGCUCAGGCUUUCAAGAGAUAGUGAAGCCAUGAUGGUCAUAUUCAGACAGAGGGAUGCAUUUUUGUAUAAUGGAUAAUAUUGGUCACAUGUGAUCUGCUCAGAAGUGAAUUAGAGCAGAAGAAAAUGACCAAAGUGCAGUACCAGCAGACUGAGCUCACCAUACCUACUUGGAGGACCAAGACUUUUAUGUUGACAUUAGAGUGGUAAGUUAGAGGAGAACAGUGUCACUCUGGUCCCAUCUUGAUGC